rnacentral:rRNA from 1 species
GACGAACGCUGGCGGCGUGCUUAACACAUGCAAGUCGAACGGAAAGGCCCUGCUUUUGUGGGGUGCUCGAGUGGCGAACGGGUGAGUAACACGUGAGUAACCUGCCCUUGACUUUGGGAUAACUUCAGGAAACUGGGGCUAAUACCGGAUAGGAGCUCCUGCUGCAUGGUGGGGGUUGGAAAGUUUCGGCGGUUGGGGAUGGACUCGCGGCUUAUCAGCUUGUUGGUGGGGUAGUGGCUUACCAAGGCUUUGACGGGUAGCCGGCCUGAGAGGGUGACCGGCCACAUUGGGGCUGAGAUACGGCCCAGACUCCUACGGGAGGCAGCAGUGGGGAAUGUUGCACAAUGGGCGGAAGCCUGAUGCAGCAACGCCGCGUGCGGGAUGACGGCCUUCGGGUUGUAAGCCGCUUUCGCCUGUGACGAAGCGUGAGUGACGGUAAUGGGUAAAGAAGCACCGGCUAACUACGUG